ensembl:processed_transcript Gas5 growth arrest specific 5
AGCCUUUCGGAGCUGUGCGGCAUUCUGAGCAGGAAUGGCAAUGUGGACCUCUGUGAUGGGACAUCUUGUGGGAUCUCACAGCCAGUUCUGUGGCAAAGGAGGAUGAAGGUUUAUGAGGACUCGUCAGGAAGCUGGAUAACAGAACGAGCGCAAUGUGCUAGAAGACCAGAAAAUGAAAUGGUGGAGUUUGAGGCUGGAUAGACAGUUUGAAAGGUAAGUAUUGAAAAACACUUGAAUUUGGGUCAGUACAAAGGGACAUGCAGAGACUUUGAAUCAUCAAAACUCCAGCAUGCAUUGUCCUACGGAUGUUUAGAUAGGUGUGUUUUGGAUAACACACGGGGUUCUUGUAAUGAUGUUGAUCAAAUGUCUGAGCUGAAAAUAACUUGUAGACAAUUUUUAACACUGAAGAACCCUGUGGCAGGCAACUAAGAAUAGUCGAAUGAUGUUUAGCAUAUUUGUAAGAGGUAUUUUCUUUUAAUUCUAGUUAACUGUGGUUGCAUGCUUGUUCAUUUGGCUGGCUUGCUUGGGUACAAAUGAUGGUUUGAAUAAAGGUAUAACGCACGGGUCGCCUCAAGUGAAGGCACUGCAAACAAAAU